rnacentral:rRNA from 1 species
CAGAUUGAACGCUGGCGGCAGGCAUAACACAUGCAAGUCGAGCGGUAACAGGGGUAGCUUGCUACCCGCUGACGAGCGGCGGACGGGUGAGUAAUGCAUAGGAAUCUGCCCGAUAGUGGGGGAUAACGUGGGGAAACCCAGGCUAAUACCGCAUACGUCGUACGGGAGAAAGGGUGCUCCGGCUCCCGCUAUUGGAUGAGCCUAUGUCGGAUUAGCUAGUUGGUAAGGUAAUGGCUCCCCAAGGCAACGAUCCGUAGGUGGUUUGAGAGGAUGAUCAGCCACAUCGGGACUGAGACCCGGCCCGAACUCCUACGGGAGGCAGCAGUGGGGAAUAUUGGACAAUGGGGGCAACCCUGAUCCAGCCAUGCCGCGUGUGUGAAGAAGGCCCUCGGGUUGUAAAGCACUUUCAGCGAGGAAGAACGCCUAUCGGUUAAUACUCGGUAGGAAAGACAUCACUCGCAGAAGAAGCACCGGCUAACUCCGUGCCAGCAGCCGCGGUAAUACGGAGGGUGCAAGCGUUAAUCGGAAUUACUGGGCGUAAAGCGCGCGUAGGUGGCUUGAUAAGCCGGUUGUGAAAGCCCCGGGCUCAACCUGGGAACGGCAUCCGGAACUGUCAGGCUAGAGUGCAGGAGAGGAAGGUAGAAUUCCCGGUGUAGCGGUGAAAUGCGUAGAGAUCGGGAGGAAUACCAGUGGCGAAGGCGGCCUUCUGGACUGACACUGACACUGAGGUGCGAAAGCGUGGGUAGCAAACAGGAUUAGAUACCCUGGUAGUCCACGCCGUAAACGAUGUCGACCAGCCGUUGGGUGCCUAGAGCACUUUGUGGCGAAGUUUACGCGAUAAGUCUACCGCCUGGGGAGUACGGCCCCCAGGUUAAAACUCAAAUGAAUUGACGGGGGCCCCCACAAGCGGUGGAGCAUGUGGUUUAAUUCCAUGCAACGCGAAAAACCUUACCUACCCUUGACAUCUACAGAAACCGGAAGAGAUUCUGGUGUGCCUUCCGGAACUGUAAGACAGGUGCUGCAUGGCUGUCGUCCGCUCCUGUUGUGAAAUGUUGGGUUAAGUCCCGUAACGAGCGCCACCCUUGUCCUUAUUUGCCAGCGAGUAAUGUCGGGAACUCUAAGGAAACUGCCGGUGACAAACCGGAAGAAGGUGGGGACGACGUCAAGUCAUCAUGGCCCUUACCGGUAGGGCUACACACGUGCUACAAUGGCCGGUACAAAUGGCUGCGAGCUCGCGAGAGUCAUCGAAUCCCUUAAAGCCGGUCUCAAUCCGGAUCGGAAUCUGCAACUCGACUCCGUGAAGUCGGAAUCGCUAGUAAUCGUGAAUCAGAAUGUCACGGUGAAUACGUUCCCGGGCCUUGUAC